CAUCUGCUGUAGAAAUGCAUUAAAUAUCAAAAUCUCUUCUCUUUAGGCACAGAAAUGUUCUGCCCACCGGAGCUCGAUGUCACUGGCAGGUACCAUGCGAAGCCGGUGACAGUUUGUUCAUUAGAGAUCCUGCUGUUCGUGAUGGUAUUAUCCAGACGACAAAGACCUGCACAGGAUCAGUAAGAAGGACUGGUCCGAACCUGACCUGCCACAAGAAUGCUGCCAGAUGAUCUGUGAUUGUCUGCAGCCUGAUCCGCAGCGGAGACUUGUCCUGGAGGAGAUGCAGCUCCAUGACUGGUUUAUGGUCGUGGAGUAAGACAUGGAGAGCAAGAAAAAAAAACUCCCUGUCAUAGCCACUGUUUUCUUUUGUAUUUUUGUUUGUCUU